rnacentral:rRNA from 1 species
UACGUAGGGUGCAAGCGUUGUCCGGAAUUAUUGGGCGUAAAGGGCUCGUAGGCGGUCCAUCGCGUCGGGAGUGAAAAGCUGGGGCUUAACCCCAGUCCUGCUUCCGAUACGGGUGGACUAGAGGUAGGCAGGGGAGAACGGAAUUCCUGGUGUAGCGGUGAAAUGCGCAGAUAUCAGGAAGAACACCCGUGGCGAAAGCGGCUCUCUGGAACGGUACUGACGCUGAGACGCGAAAGCGUGGGGAGCGAACAGG